UUUUUUUUUUUUUUUUUUGGUUCUUUUUUUUCGGAGCUGGGGACGGAACCCAGGGCCUUGCGCUUCCUAGGUAAGCGCUCUACCACUGAGCUAAAUCCCCAGCCCCGAUUGUACAGAUCUUUUACUUGCUUGGUUAAAGUCACACCGAGGUACUUUAUAUUAUUUGGGUCUAUUAUGAAGGGUGUCGUUUCCCUAAUUUCUUUCUCGGCUUGUUUCUCUUUUGUAUAGAGGAAGGCAACUGAUUUAUUUGAGUUAAUUUUAUACCCAGCCACUUUGCUGAAGGUGUUUAUCAGCUUUAGUAGUUAGUUCUCUGGUGGAAUAGAAUUCUUACUAAUAUCAGAAAUUGUAGGAUGAGAAAGGAAAACAAAAACGUGUAAUUCCAUGACCUAAGAAAGUUUCAUUCCUGUUUUAGUGUAUUUAUAUUAUGUGAGUAUAUACUCAUAUAUACAAUUUAUGUUUUCUCAUGAUUACAUUUAAAGAAUUUUAUGGAGGUCUGCAUCUCGGAUGCUUAAUAGCAGUGUACAAUAUCACUGAGAAUAAAGGCCUUGGCUUACAUACCACCCCUACUUUUUUUCUGGAAGGGGAAAUUUAAUUUCAUCAUUUUUGGCACUUCUCUUAGUGGACUUUGUGUUCAUUUCCUUUAAGCAUUGAUCAUGGUAUGUAGAAAUGUAACUGAAUUUGUUUGUUGUAUUUCACUGUUUCUCUGAAUUCACAUUCUAGUUCUAGUAGAUAAUUUGUAUAG
rnacentral:lncRNA from 1 species